rnacentral:rRNA from 1 species
UACGGAGGGUGCGAGCGUUAAUCGGAAUUACUGGGCGUAAAGGGUGCGUAGGUGGUUGAAUAAGUUAUCUGUAAAAUUCCUGGGCUUAACCUGGGGCGGUCAGAUAAGACUGUUUGACUCGAGUAUGGGAGAGGGUAGUGGAAUUUCCGGUGUAGCGGUGAAAUGCGUAGAGAUCGGAAGGAACACCAGUGGCGAAGGCGGCUACCUGGCCUAAUACUGACACUGAGGCACGAAAGCGUGGGGAGCAAACAGG